UUGCAUAUUAAUAAUAGUGAUUGAAUAGAAAACAAAAACUGGUGGGGUGAAUGAUUAUGAUAACUUUCGAGGAUGAGACUUUAAUAUUGGAGCGUCAAGACAUUAAAGUGUGUCAUGACUAUGUUGGAAUUAGCUACUAGCAAGUGCAAUUCGAGAUAUUGUGGAGUAUCAUGAGACUUCACAUAGCAGCCCGUGUAAGGAUUGGUGCAUCAACUUCCUUUUAUUUAUCUAGUUAUUAAUUUAUAUUUAUCUUUUUUUUUUUAGUUUUAAUUUAAAUGUGAGGGUAUUUUGUGCAUUUAGUAAUUGUACGGUUUUCUAUUGUUUUAAAACUAUUUAUACUCUUGUUAAAGAUUUCAUUGCGUUUUUUUUUUUUUUUUUUUUUUUUUUUUUUUGUGUUUUUGCAUGUUGAAUAAAAUCAUGGAGAUUUCUCAUGAUCAAAAUUUGAUCUUUGAUCGAAAAUCUCAAGAUUCAAUGAUCUCAUAUUGAUGUGCUCUUGAGUUCUUUUAAACUUUGUAUGCAUCAACAACAUCUGGGCUCGUGAUGACAUGCACUAUUAAUAAAAUGGAAUUAAUUUCCCUUUCUUGAGUAUUUGAAAUGCCCAAUUAACAUUGAGAAAUUUCUGCAUAAAUCUCAAUUCGUUUAUCCUAAUUAUCAACUUAGCUACUCAUACUAAUAGGAAAAAAAAAUAAAAAUAAUAGAUUCAACAAUGAGUUUUGAAGAAAGAUGAAGAAAAGAAUAAGAUCUUGGACCAAGAAUCUUCUUCUCCAAGCCCAAAUUUUAC
rnacentral:lncRNA from 1 species